ensembl:lncRNA
GGGGGAGGGGGAGGGGGAAGGGGAGGGGGGGGGGUUUCCAGACUUUUCCAGGCUUCUGUUUAUAACCGAGUCUCUUCUACAUGCAUUUUAAGAUAUCGUGUAUGUUCCUCACACUACAGCGCUGGGAGAGCAAACUCAAUUUCUCACAGCCUGUUGUGCAAAGUAGGGGACGCGGUGGCACAGCGGGCUUGGCCAGCUCCCGCUUUCUGGCGCGCCUGGGGUUCGAGUCCUCCUUGGGAUGCCUUGCGACAGACUGACAUCCCGUCCUGGGUGUGUCCCCUCCCCCUCCAGCCCCACGCCCUGCGCUGCCGGGUUAGGCUCCGGCUCACCCCAACCCCACUUGGGACAAGCAGCUUCGGCAACAAUCUUCUAACAGACACAGAUACGGCACGAGUGAUGUUGUCUGCAGGGUCUAAAGGGUGAAUUCUGACCCAGGACUCAGCCCACCCACCUGCGGGUCACAGCCAGACCGCAGUCCCGUUUCCUGGACCUCGAU